UGGGGAAUAUUGCACAAUGGGGGAAACCCUGAUGCAGCGACGCCGCGUGAACGAAGAAGGUAUUCGUAUCGUAAAGUUCUGUCCUAUGGGAAGAUAAUGACAGUACCAUAGAAGAAAGCUCCGGCUAAAUACGUGCCAGCAGCCGCGGUAAUACGUAUGGAGCGAGCGUUGUCCGGAAUGAUUGGGCGGAAAGGGUACGCAGGCGGUUUAAUAAGUCGAAUGUUAAAGAUCGGGGCUCAACCCCGCAAAGCAUUGGAAACUGAUAAACUUGAGUAGUGGAGAGGAAAGUAGAAUUCCUAGUGUAGUGGUGAAAUACGUAGAUAUUAGGAGGAAUACCAGUAGCGAAGGCGACUUUCUGGACACAAACUGACGCUGAGGUACGAAAGCGUGGGGAGCAAACAGG
rnacentral:rRNA from 1 species